rnacentral:lncRNA from 1 species
NNNNNNAGACGGCUGAGUAAGAGUUCGUGAGCGCUGAGAUUACUCGACGGAAACUACUCCAAUUUGAAGAAAAUAUUGAAGGAAAAAAAAAACUAAAUGGAGCCCAGAAAAUUGUUACAGUAUCUAGCAGUGUAGUGACAUGUAACUGGAGACAGAAAAUGGGUCACAAAAAAUAUCUGAGGCCGGGGGUGUGGUGGUUCACCCCUGUAAUCCCAGCACUUUGGGAGGCUGAGGCAGGCGGAUCACAAGGUCAAGAGAUCGAAACCAUCCUGGCCAAUGUGGUGAAACCCCAUCUCUACUAAAAAUACAAAAAUUAACUGGGCGUGGUGGUGCAUGCCUAUAAUCCCAGCUACUCAGGAGGCUGAGGCAGGAGAAUUGCUUGAACCCGGGAGGCGGAGGUUGCAUUGAGUUGAGAUCACGCCAUUGCACUCCAGCCUAAGAAACAAAAAUUAACUGGGCGUGGUGGUGCAUGCCUAUAAUCCCAGCUACUCAGGAGGCUGAGGCAGGAGAAUUGCUUGAACCCGGGAGGCGGAGGUUGCAUUGAGUUGAGAUCACGCCAUUGCACUCCAGCCUAAGAAACAAGAGCAAAACUCCAUCUCAAAAAGAAAAGAAAAAAAAAAAAAAAAAAGACUAUUGAUAUUGGGUUCCAAGAUGGCUGAAUAGGAACAGCUCCAGUCUACAGCUCCCAGCGAGAGAGAUGCAGAAGAUGGGUGAUUUCUGCAUUUCCAACUGAGGUACUGGGUUCAUAUCACUGGGGCUUGUCACACAGUGGGUGCAGGACAGUGGGUGCAGCGCACCGAGUGUGAGCCGAAGCAGGGUGAGGCAUCGCCUCACCCGGGAAGCAGAAAGGGUCAGGGAAUUCCCUUUCAUAGCCAAGCAAAGCUGUGACAGAUGGCACCUGGAAAAUCGGGCCACUCCCACCCUAAUACCGCGCUUUUCCAAUGGUCUUAGCAAAUGGCACACCAGGAGAUUAUAUCCCGCGCCUGGCUCAGAGGGUCCCACACCCACAGAGCCUCGCUCAUUGCUAGCACAGCAGUUUGAGAUCCAACUGCAAGGCGGCAGCGAGGCUGGGGGAGGGGCACCUGCCAUGGCUGAGGCUUGAGUAGGUAAACAAAGCGGCCGGGAAGCUCGAACUGGGUGGAGCCCACCGCAGCUCAAGGAGGCCUGCCUGCCUCUGUAGGCUCCACCUCUGGGGGCAGGGCAUAGCCGAACAAAAGGCAGCAGAAACCUCUGCAGAUUUAAAUGUCCUUGUCUGACAGCUUUGAAGAGAGUAGUGGUUCUCCUAGCACAGGGUUUGAGAUCUGAGAACAGACAGACUGCCUCCUCAAGUGGGUCCCUGACCCCUGAGUAGCCUAUCUGGGAGGCACCCCCCAGUAGGGGCAGACUGACAUCUCACACGGCCAGGUACCCUUCUGAGACAAAACCUCCAGAGGAACGAUCAGACAGCAACAUUUGCUGUUCAUCAAUAUUCGCUGUUCUGCAGCCUCCGCUGCUGAUAACCAGGCAAACAGGGUCUGGAGUGCACCUCCAGCAAACUCCAACAGACCUGCAGCUGAGAGUCCUGACUGUUAGAAGGAAAACUAACAAACAGAAAGGACAUCCACACCAAAACCCCAUCUGUACAUCACUAUCAUCAAAGACCAAAGGUAAAUAAAACCACAAAGAUGGGGAAAAAAACAGAACAGAAAAACUGAAAAUUCUAAAAAUCAGAGUGCCUCUCCUCCUCCAACGAACAACUGGUACCAGCCACUGCAAAAACACGCUAAAUUGUAAAGACCAUCAAUGCUAGGAAGAAACUACAUCAACUAAUGAGCAAAAUAACCAGCUAACACAAAUUGGAUAGUCAAGACCCAUCAGUGUGCUGUAUUCAGGAAACCCAUCUCACGUGCAGAGACACACAUAGGCUCAAAAUAAAGGGAUGGAGGAAGAUCUACCAAGCAAAUGGAAAACAAAAAAAGGCAGGGGUUGCAAUCCUAGUCUCUGAUAAAACAGACUUUAAACCAACAAAGAUCAAAAGAGACAAAGAAGGCCAUUACAUAAUGGUAAAGGGAUCAAUUCAACAAGAAGAGCUAACUAUCCUAAAUAUAUAUGCACCCAAUACAGGAGCACCCAGAUUCAUAAAGCAAGUCCUUAGUGACCUACAAAGAGACUUAGACUCCCACACAAUAAUAAUGGGAGGCUUUAACACCCCACAGUCAACAUUAGACAGAUCAACAAGACAGAAAGUUAACAAGGAUAUCCAGGAACUGAAUUCAGCUCUGCACCAAGCAGAUCUAAUAGACAUCUACAGAACUCUCCACCCCAAAUCAACAGAAUAUACAUUCUUCUUAGCACCACACCACACCUAUUCCAAAACUGACCAUAUAGUUGGAAGUAAAGCACUCCUCAGCAAAUGUAAUUCUGCACAGCAAAAGAAACUACCAUCAGAGUGAACAGGCAACCUACAGAAUGGGAGAAAAUUUUUGCAAUCUACUCAUCUGACAAAGGGCUAAUAUCCAGAAUCUACAAAGAACUCCAACACAUUUACAAGAAAAAAACAAACAACCCCAUCAACAAGUGAGUGAAGGAUAUGAACGGAUACUUCUCAAAAGAAGACAUUUAUGCAGCCAACAGACACAUGAAAAAAUGCUCAUCAUCACUGGCCAUCAGAGAAAUGCAAAUCAAAACCACAAUGAGAUACCAUCUCACACCAGUUAGAAUGGCGAUCAUUAAAAAUUCAGGAAACAACAGGUGCUGGAGAGGAUGUGGAGAAAUAGGAACACUUUUACACUGUUGGUGGGACUGUAAACUAGUUCAACCAUUGUGGAAGACAGUGUGGCAAUUCCUGAGGGAUCUAGAACUAGAAAUACCAUUUGACCCAGCCAUCCCAUUACUGGCUAUAUACCCAAAGGAAUGUAAAUCAUGCUGCUAUAAAGACACAUGCAAACAUAUGUUUAUUGCAGCACUACUCACUAUAGCAAAGACUUGGAACCAACCCAAAUGUCCAACAAUGAUAGACUGGAUUAAGAAAAUGUGGCACAUAUACACCAUGGCAUACUAUGCAGCCAUAAAAAAGGAUGAGUUCAUGUCCUUUGUAGGGACAUGGCUGAAGCUGGAAACCAUCAUUCUCAGCAAACUAUCGCAAGGACAAAAAACCAAACACCGCAUGUUCUCACUCAUAGGUGGGAAUUGAACAAUGAGAACACUCGGACACAGGAAGGGGAACAUCACACACCGGGGCCUGUUGUGGGGUGGGGGAAAGGGUAGGGAUAGCAUUAGGAGAUAUACCUAAUGUAAAUGACGAGUUACUUGGUGCAGCACACCAACAUGGCACAUGUAUACAUAUGUAACAAACCUGCAUUGUGCACAUGUACCCUAGAACUUAAAGUAUAAUAAAAAUAUACAUAUACAUAUUGAAAAAAAAGAAAUCUGAAAAAAAAAAUGGCCCAAAACUGGAGAAAGACAACAACUUACAGAUCCAAGAAGCUCAAUAAACGCCAACCAGGAUAACUUAAAAACAAACAAACAAACAAAAAAAAAACAUCCCGAGGCAAAUCAUAAUCAAAGUGCUAAUGUAAAGAAAAGAGAAAAAUCUUGAAGGCAGUUUAAGGAAAGAGAUGAAGUUCUCCCUACAUGUUCCUGAAAAUUCUAAAAAUAGGCAUAAAACAAGAAGAUCACAUGCCAAUUCUAUCACUGCAAUUCAUCUGGGAGAGGUACUUGGAACAAAUUACUCUCAUGGGAACAUUGACCAAAAGCCUUCUCUUCUGUUUUACUCACAGAAGCCAAGUUUAGCUUCUUUACAGGCCUCUUCUUGAUCCACAAAUAGGAGUGUGAUCUAAAUAAAAACUGUAAAACUAUUUACUUAUCCUCCACACUUGCUAUAAGUAACACUCUUGCACCAUGUUGGUCAGGCUGGUCUUGAACUCCUGACCUCAAGUGAUCCACCCACCUUGGCCUCCCAAAGUGCUGGGACUACAGGCAUGAGCCACCGCACCCAGCCAGUUCCUCAUUCUUUUAUUGUCAAAUAAUAUUCUAUUGUGUGAAUGUACCAUUUUACUUAUCCAUUCAUCAGUUGAUAGUCAUUUGGCUUAUUUCCACUUUUUGGCUAUUACAAAUAAAGCUGCUAUGAAUAUUCAUGUACACAUUUUUUGGAGAUGUAAGUUUUCAUGUGGACGUAAGUUUUCAUUUCUCGAGACCUGCCUGGUCAACAUGGUGAAACCCCAUCUCUACUAAAAAUACAAAAAUUAGCCGGGCAUGAUAGCGCACACCUGUAGUCCCAGCUACUUGGGAGGCUGAAGCAGGAGAAUCUCUUGAACCUGGGAGGCGGAGGUUGUAGUGAACCGAGAUCGCACCAUUGCACUCCAGCCUGAGUGACAAGAGUGAAACUCAGUCUCAAAAAAAAAAAAAAGAAAGAAAAGAAAAGCAACCAGUGGGAAAGGGCAGGGAGGCUGGUGAAGGCACCAAGAGAUAUAAGCCACUAGCAGGAGCACAGAUAAAGAGGUCUCACUGGCCAAAGGGAGAGGAGGAUGUUAGUCCUGGGAAAUCUCAAAGUUCCCUGAUACUUUUCUAAGCAAUUAUACCAUGUAGCUUCAGGAUGGCCCAGAUGUCUCAGAGCAGUUGCAGCAACUGCUAUUCUGGUAGAUGAAGCUAACAAAUUAACUUUGUGGCAACAUCUGGUACCUGGUCUGAAAAGGCAACUGACAUUUCUAAAUUUUUAUUAAAGGAAAUAAUCCCUAAGUUUGGGCUGCCUAAAAGCUUACAGAAUGGCUCAUUUUUCACAGCAACAAGAACCCAAAAUAUAUCACCGGCUCUAGGAAUUCAGUAUCACCUUUAUUCAGCAUGGAGGCCACAGUUUGCAGGAAAAGUAGAAAGGGCCAAACUUCAAAGAGGACUCUUGCCAAGUUAUGCCAGGAAAUAUCAGAAACCUAUUCAUCUCUAUUGCCUGUGGCCUUGUUGCUAGUUUUGGCUGCCCCUAAGGGAAACUUGCAGCUCAGCUCUUUCGAAAUAAUGUAUGGAAGUCCUUUCUUAACUGCAGAUUUCCUAGUAGAUAUAGAUACUUUCAAAUUACAGAACUACAUUAUUAACUUAGGUCGGGUGCAAAAAGCUCUUCUUGAAUAUGGAAAUCAGAGACUUCCUCCCUCCACUAAGGAAGAAAAUGCUAUAAUCCAGCCAGGAAACUGGGUUCUAUUAAAAACUUGGAAGGAAGGGUCUCCGUUAGAUCAACCUUCCCCAAAGUACUUGUACAAAGUACUCUAC